rnacentral:rRNA from 1 species
GACGAACGCUGGCGGCGUGCUUAACACAUGCAAGUCGAACGGAAAGGCCCUGCUUUUGUGGGGUGCUCGAGUGGCGAACGGGUGAGUAACACGUGAGUAACCUGCCCUUGACUUUGGGAUAACUUCAGGAAACUGGGGCUCAUACCGGAUAGGAUCUCCUGCUGCAUGGUGGGGGUUGGAAAGUUUCGGCGGUUGGGGAUGGACUCGCGGCUUAUCAGCUUGUUGGUGGGGUAGUGGCUUACCAAGGCUUUGACGGGUAGCCGGCCUGAGAGGGUGACCGGCCACAUUGGGACUGGGAUACGGCCCAGACUCCUACGGGAGGCAGCAGUGGGGAAUAUUGCACAAUGGGCGGAAGCCUGAUGCAGCAACGCCGCGUGCGGGAUGACGGCCUUCGGGUUGUAAACCGCUUUCGCCUGUGACGAAGCGUGAGUGACGGUAAUGGGUAAAGAAGCACCGGCUAACUACGUG